UAGUAUUGACCGGGAUGGAGGUAGUAAAUAUAUAGGGUGCCGGUACCGAUUCCCGUGUUGGUUUUGUACUUUGCUUCAUUUGAGAACUAAAAAGGAAAGUCCACAGCCCACCGAUCAGUCUCUCUCGGAAACGUUAAACAUAAACUGCAAAUAUUGAGCUGCGUUUUUCAAGAGUUUUGAGGUCAGGGCACUGGAAGAUUCACCUGAUGACCAAUGAUCGGAGCCCCAGACAUUCAUUCCAACAGGUCCCAGAAAGUCAUCAUUGAGCAAACCUAAUGUGUCUGGUCUAGCAUAUGGGCUGAUUCGCAAGCAUGUCCUUACGAAGUGUACAUAUUCAUUGGUGAAUCUUCCAGCAAGCCCAUGGAUUGGCAUUUCGGCUUCCGCGUUUUGCAGCAAUUGUUCCCAAGUCUCUGGUAAAAUCCCCAACUGCUCAAUGUAAUUCACAACUCGUAGGAAUUGGUUCCUGUUCAAAACCGAAAUCCUCCCAUAACCGAGUUCCAAAGCAACGAGACCGAUACUCCAGACGUCACGCCUCUUGGCAUGAUACUGGUACCAGAAGUUUGGUUGAUCUUCAAUGUCUUCUGCAGCUGCGGCCUCCUCCAGUUCCUGAGGUGGCUGAUCCGCCAGAGCCGCCUCCACUUCAUGAGGUAGCUGAGCCUCCUCGUCAACAAAUUCGGGAGCCCUUCCCCGGUCACUUAUACGAUUGAUUGGCAAGAAAUGAUUUGCAAAAAAGGCAGCAUGCCAGUCUACUUCAAAAGCGGUGCAUGUAGCAGCCACUUUGAUGUAUUCAGGGCUACAUACUAUGUGUCCAGCAGUGAGUUGCGUAUGGUUCAAAUCGAAAUGAUGGAGGUCCAUUAUAGCCCUUACCAUAUUAGAAGCAGCCCUGCGAAUCUGGGGAAUAGUAAAACCAUGGGUAAACCUCUGGUCAACGAGCAUGAGCGAUCUUAGGGAUAUAUGCUGUUGAAGUGCAAACACUAUGCAGAUGUAUUGGACAUCGUCAAAGUUAAUAAAAAAGUGUUCAUCAAAGAGCAGAAGGGUGGUGGCUAUCCCUGGGUGGAACAAACAGUCCAUCAUCUCAUUAAUGUCAUGAUUGACAUUUUCCCAGAUUGGUUGGCCUCCGGCAGCAAUCUUUAUAGCUUUGUUUGGGACCCCAAUCGUGUUGACUGUACACUCUGCCGUGUACACUGGAUAUUCAAAGUCAGGCCCCCAACAACCGAUCCUGGCUAUAAUGCGAUGGUUUUCUUGAUUGUGGAUGAACUUCUUUGAUGAUAUCUUGAAAUCUUGAAAUGUGAUUUCUGGGAGAGACAGUGCAAUGUGAUUUCUGGGAGAGACAGUGCAAGUUACAAAUGGUUUUCUUGAUUGUGGAUGAACUUGCUUGAUGAUAUCUUGAAAUCUUGAAAUGUGAUUUCUAGGAGAGACAGUGCAAUGUGAUUUCUGGGAGAGACAGUGCAAGUUACAGAUGGGUUUCUUGACUGUGGAUGAACUUCCUUGAUGAUUUCUUGAAAUGUGAUUUCUGGAAGAGACUGAGAUAAUUAGCAGAGGUGUGACGUGAUACUGUGUGUAGGAGUAUAGUAUAUAUAGUAGUUUAUUACUGAAUAACAGUACUUAACCGAACAUUAAAGAUAUAGUACUCCAACGGGGGAUUCCUUUCCUUCACACCUGUACCCAGUUCAAACAUCCCCUUUACCCCAUAUAGUAAUUUUUGCCCGCGGCAUAAAAAUGAUUUUUUUUUU